UAUAGGGUUGGCCAAAAAGUUUGUUUGGAUUUUCCAUACCACCUUAUGGGAAAACCCAAAUGAACUUUUUGGCCAACCUAAU
rnacentral:miRNA from 1 species